rnacentral:rRNA from 1 species
UAGUCCACGCCCUAAACGAUGUACACUAGGUGGCGGAAGUUUUGACGCUAUCGCCGCCGAAGCCAAAGUGUUAAGUGUACCGCCUGGGGAGUACGGUCGCAAGGCUAAAACUCAAAGGAAUUGACGGGGGCUCACACAAGCGGUGGAGCAUGUGGCUUAAUUCGAAGCAACGCGAAGAACCUUAUCCAGGGUUUGACAUUCACGAAUUAGCUUCCUGAAAGGGAAGUGACGCGCUUGCGUGGAACGUGAACAGGUGCUGCGUGGCUGUCGUCAGCUCGUGCUGUGAAGUGUCGGGUUAAGUCCCUUAACGAGCGAAACCCCUAUCACUAGUUGCCAUCAGGUUAUGCUGGGGACUCUAGUGAGACUGCCGGCGUCAAGCCGGAGGAAGGUGGGGAUGACGUCAAGUCCUCAUGGCCUUUAUGCCCUGGGCUGCACACGUGCUACAAUGCCAACGACAGAGCGAAGCGAUACGGCAACGUGGAGCAAAUCGCAGAAACGUUGGCUC